ACCCGUCAGAGCACAGAAGUAUGGCCACCCCCGAAGUGGGUCGGCUGGCCACAGCUGGGGAGUCAGGCUGUCAAUACACCACGGACAGCGGAAGCACUUAUGCCCAGCCCUGACUCCAGCUGGACUUUACCUUCAGGGGUCCCUUUGGGGACUAUACCACACUGUCCAGAUGCCCAUUCCAGGUACCCUUGUACUAGGCCCCAGAAGCACAGCAGUUUCCAGCAGCAGAGCCUCAGGACGCAGUGACCGCUGGCAGCCUGUUCUGAUAGGAUCUCACUCUGUAGCUUGGGUGACUACCACUUCGCAAGUCGUGCCCCGGCACUUUCAUCUGUCAGUCAGCCUUAAUCCCAGCUCCACGGAAAUCUAGAAGCAACUGCACUCAUGUGCAUCAUCUACAGCACACCGUAAAUAAUAAGAAGCCUUAAAAAGUUCCUUGGUCUACACAACGAGUUCCUGGCUAUAACUACACAGUAAGAUCUUGUCUCAAAAAUUAGAACUACACAAAUGAGUCGUAUUAAGCUUCCACAAAAGCAUGAUGAACCAGGCUUAUGACUUGUACUCAUUUCUUGGUCUGAACAAGAUCCUUAGAAGGGUAUUUAAAAAGAAACCACCACUAAGUCCGGCUUAGGCCUCCUACCUCCAUCCAUUUCCAACAAGUCAUUCACAUUUUAGUGAUCUAAUACGGUAAGAAUCACCACUGGCCGACAUUUGUACCCGCACCAGAGUCCCGGGAAGCAAGCAGCCAGCUACCUUGUUGAGCCGGUCAUCGUCCGCCUCGAUACCCACGCUGUCUAGUAUCUUCUUAAUGUCUUUGGCGCUGGGAGAGGAGUUGCCCCCAAGG